rnacentral:rRNA from 1 species
AGUGAACGCUGGCGGUAGGCCUAACACAUGCAAGUCGAACGGCAGCACAGUAAGAGCUUGCUCUUACGGGUGGCGAGUGGCGGACGGGUGAGGAAUACAUCGGAAUCUACUUUUUCGUGGGGGAUAACGUAGGGAAACUUACGCUAAUACCGCAUACGACCUACGGGUGAAAGCAGGGGAUCUUCUGACCUUGCGCGAUUGAAUGAGCCGAUGUCGGAUUAGCUAGUUGGCGGGGUAAAGGCCCACCAAGGCGACGAUCUGUAGCUGGUCUGAGAGGAUGAUCAGCCACACUGGAACUGAGACACGGUCCAGACUCCUACGGGAGGCAGCAGUGGGGAAUAUUGGACAAUGGGCGAAAGCCUGAUCCAGCCAUACCGCGUGGGUGAAGAAGGCCUUCGGGUUGUAAAGCCCUUUUGUUGGGAAAGAAAAGCAGCAGGUUAAUACCCCGCUGUUCUGACGGUACCCAAAGAAUAAGCACCGGCUAACUUCGUG